CUUGGGCCAGGCUGGCCGGUCCGCCUAACCGCGUGCACUGGUCUGGCCGGGCCCUUUCCUCUGGGGAGCCGCAUGCCGUUCGCUCGGCGUGUCGGGGAACCAGGACUUUUACUUUGAAAAAAUUAGAGUGUUCAAAGCAGGCCUUCGCUCGCAUACAUUAGCAUGGAAUAAUGGAAUAGGACGCGCGGUUCUAUUUUGUUGGUUUCUAGCGCCGCCGUAAUGAUUGAUAGGGACAGUCGGGGGCAUCCGUAUUCAGCCGCGAGAGGUGAAAUUCUUAGACCGGCUGAAGACGAACUACUGCGAAAGCAUUUG
rnacentral:misc_RNA from 1 species